rnacentral:rRNA from 1 species
CCUACGGGAGGCUGCAGUGGGGAAUAUUGGACAAUGGGGGGAACCCUGAUCCAGCCAUGCCGCGUGUGUGAAGAAGGCCCUCGGGUUGUAAAGCACUUUCAGUGAGGAAGAACGCCUGGUGGUUAAUACCCAUCAGGAAAGACAUCACUCACAGAAGAAGCACCGGCUAACUCCGUGCCAGCAGCCGCGGUAAUACGGAGGGUGCGAGCGUUAAUCGGAAUUACUGGGCGUAAAGCGCGCGUAGGUGGCUUGAUAAGCCGGUUGUGAAAGCCCCGGGCUCAACCUGGGAACGGCAUCGGGAACUGUCAAGCUAGAGUGCAGGAGAGGAAGGUAGAAUUCCCGGUGUAGCGGUAAAUGCGUAGAGAUCGGGAGGAAUACCAGUGGCGAAGGCGGCCUUCUGGACUGACACUGACACUGAGGUGCGAAAGCGUGGGUAGCAAACAGGAUUAGAUACCCUGGUAGUC